CAAUAGCGUAUAUUAAAGUUGUUGCAGUUAAAAAGCUCGUAGUUGAAUUUCUGUUAAGGAGAUCCCGUGCGGCUUCGGCUGACUGCGUGGAUGCUUCUUGGCAUUUGUCCAAAGACCGUUUCUGCACUUAACUGGGUGGAGCGGGAUUUGGAUCCUUUACUUUGAGAAAAUUAGAGUGUUUCAAGCAGGCAAGCGUCUUGAAUACUGCAGCAUGGAAUAAUACGAUAAGACUCAUGUCUUAUUUUGUUGGUUUCUGAGACUGAGUAAUGAUUGAUAGGGACAGUUAGGGGCAUUCGUAUUUAACUGUCAGAGGUGAAAUUCUUGGAUUUGUUAAAGACGAACUACUGCGAAAGCAUUUGCCAGGGAUGUUUUCAUUAA
rnacentral:rRNA from 1 species